UACGAAGGGGGCUAGCGUUGCUCGGAAUCACUGGGCGUAAAGCGCACGUAGGCGGCUUUCUAAGUCAGGGGUGAAAUCCUGGAGCUCAACUCCAGAACUGCCUUUGAUACUGGAAAGCUUGAGUCCGGGAGAGGUGAGUGGAACUGCGAGUGUAGAGGUGAAAUUCGUAGAUAUUAGCAGGAACACCGGUGGCGAAGGCGGCUAUCUGGACAAUUACUGACGCUGAGGCGCGAAAGCGUGGGGAUCAAACAGG
rnacentral:rRNA from 1 species